ACGGAGGGGGUUAGCGUUGUUCGGAAUUACUGGGCGUAAAGCGCGCGUAGGCGGAUUAGUAAGUUAGGGGUGAAAUCCCGGGGCUCAACCCCGGAACUGCCUCUAAUACUGCUAGUCUUGAGUUCGAGAGAGGUGAGUGGAAUUCCGAGUGUAGAGGUGAAAUUCGUAGAUAUUCGGAGGAACACCAGUGGCGAAGGCGACUCACUGGCUCGAUACUGACGCUGAGGUGCGAAAGUGUGGGGAGCAAACAGG
rnacentral:rRNA from 1 species